AAUUUAUAUCAAAAUUUUGAAAUUUUAUUUUUAAGAUAUUGAAGGUGGAUAUCAAACUUACCUUUGCCUUCCAUCCUCAAAUCAAUGGUCAAAAAAACAAGUCAAUUAAGUUUUAAACCAAUAUUUGUAAUGUAUCAUCAACUAUAAACAAGAUAUUAGAUCUCAUAUUUAUUUUAUAAAAAUUUUACUUAUAAAAAUAUUCUCCAUGCUUUGAUUCAACAAAUACCAUUUUAUACCAAAUAUGGUUACUGUCUAAAGCUUGAUUUAUAAGGUACACCAAAGGAUGAAAAUCUAGCAACUGAAAAUCUCGCAAAAUAAUUCUCAUAGCUCCAUACAACUUUUAAGGUCUAAUUAAAAGUAGCUCAAGUUUUUUACAAAAUAUCUUUAAAUAAAUUUAGAAAAGAAACUCUUAAUUUUUAAAUUAGAGAUAAAAUAUGGCUUUUUUAACAAAAUAU
rnacentral:lncRNA from 1 species